rnacentral:rRNA from 1 species
AUUGAACGCUGGCGGCAGGCUUAACACAUGCAAGUCGAACGAGUGGCGGACGGGUGAGUAAUGACUGGGAAACUGCCUGAUGGAGGGGGUUAACUACUUGAAACAGUAGCUAAUACCGCAUACCAUCCGAUUUUCCCCGAUGGGAUUAGCUAGUUAGUGGGGUAACGGCUCACCAAGGCACCGAUCCGUAGCUGGUCUUAGAGGAAGACCAGCCACACAGGGACUAAGAACCAGUCCAGACUCCUACGGGAGGAAGCAUUGGGGAAUAUUGAACAAUGAGCGCAAGCCUGAUGCAAACAUGCCGGGUGUGUGAAGAAGGACUACGGGUUGUAAAGUACUUUCGGCGGGGAGGCGUUACCCGCAGAAGAAGCACCGGCUAACUCCGUGCCAGAAGCCGCGGUAAUUC